rnacentral:rRNA from 1 species
ACCCGCUGAACUUAAGCAUAUCAAUAAGCGGAGGAAAAGAAACUAACAAGGAUUCCCCUAGUAACGGCGAGUGAAGCGGGAUGAGCUCAAAUUUAAAAUCUGGCUGGUUUACUAGUCCGAAUUGUAGUUUAAAGAAGCGUUUUCGGUGGCAGCCUGGGUAUAAAUCCUUUGGAACAGGGUAUCAUAGAGGGUGAGAAUCCCGUCUUUGACUCAGUGCAUGCUACUAUGUGAUACGUUUUCAAAGAGUCGAGUUGUUUGGGAAUGCAGCUCAAAAUGGGUGGUAAAUUUCAUCUAAAGCUAAAUAUUGGCGAGAGACCGAUAGCGAACAAGUACCGUGAGGGAAAGAUGAAAAGAACUUUGAAAAGAGAGUUAAACAGUGCGUGAAAUUGUUGAAAGGGAAACGCUUGACACCAGUCAUGCGAGCGGAAAAUCAGUCUUUUGCAGUGGGGAGUUGUGUGGGUUCGGACCGCAAGGCCGGCCUGCGCUGCAUCUCUGCUGUAAGUGAUGCACUUUUUCGUUUGCAGGCCAACAUCAGUUUCUUCUGCUGGACAAAACUCUUGAGAAGGUGGCAGCUUAGGCUGUGUUAUAGCUCUUGAGCGAUACAGUGGAGGGGACUGAGGUUUUCGCAGCGCGUGCUCUCGGGCAAGGCUGAUUGGGUGCUAUGGGAUCGUUCGGUGUACAAUGCAUGCAUUUUGCGCCGUGUCUUUUCUAUACUCGCUCAACUCGGCUCUUCCGCGCUUAGGAUGUUGGCUUAAUGGUUUUAAUCGACCCGUCUUGAAACACGG